UCCAUUGGUCAAACUAGCAAUUGCAAGUUCUUUUCUUUUCCUAAUUGUAAAAUUGAAAAAGGGCAGUCGCAGAUAGGGUUUUGAAAAAAAAUCCCUAAAAUGCACAACGGAAUCGGACUGAACACCCCUAGGGGGGUCAGGCACCAAUGGUUACAUUCAGAGCAACAAAUUCUUUGUAAAGCCGAAGACGAAUCGGGUAACCCAUUCCACCAAGCCAUUCGAGGCAGAUCAAGGCACCGCAGGUCUCACCACCAGGAAACCUAACAAGGAAAUCCUCGAGCAUGAUCGCAAGCGUCAGAUUGAGCUCAAGCUCGUGAUUUUGGAAGAUAAACUAGCCGAACAAGGUUACACUGAAUCUGAGAUCGCUGAUAACCUUGUCGAAGCUAGGAAGGCUCUCGAAGAUGCUCAACAAGAGAAAGACGAAGAAGAAGGAGAAGUCAUACCAAUCCCUACUCACCAGCAAAAUGGUUAGGUUUUCGGAUACACAGACUCACCGCCGCAAGGAAGGAGUAGCAGAUGGAGACCUUUAGGGCUGCUCUCGGUAUUGGAGCUUCUGAAUCUGGGCUUCCCCCUCUGCCAAAUCCUCUAAACAACAUCGAUGAGCGGUCACAUAAUUGUGAUUAGGAUUUAAGGUAUAACCAUUAGGGUAAGAAAAAUAGUAAUAGUAAGAUUAAAUAUUGUAAUUAUAGUAUUAGAUAUUGUAGCACUAUAACGUAAAAUAAAAAAUUAAACGCAUUAUACUA